rnacentral:RNase_P_RNA from 1 species
GGAGUUGGCAGGAUGAUCGCUCCUCUGCCCAAAAGAUUGGCGGAGGGGAGGAAAGUCCGAGCUCCAUCGGGCAGGGUGGUCGCUAACGGCGACGCGGGGUGACCCGACGGAAAGUGCCACAGAAAAUACACAGCCUCCAUUGUUUGCUUGUGUAAACAAGCAAAGGGGGUAAAAAAGGCGAGGUAAGAGCUCACCGCUCCUCUGGUGACAGGGGAGGCAUGGUAAACCCCACCCGGAGCAAGGCCAAAUAAGAGGGGAAUUCCGUUCCCUGCGAGGGACGGAUACGGGAUGCCCAUCCCGCGCUAUGACCCUCGGGUUGGCCGCUUGAUCCGUCAGAGCAAUUUGGCGGACAGAUAGAUGAUCAUCAAAUACAGAACUCGGCUUAUGGCCAACUCCAGCU